rnacentral:rRNA from 1 species
AUUUAACGCUGGCGGCAGGCCUAACACAUGCAAGUCGAGCGAGCGGCGGACGGGUGAGUAAUGCCUGGGAAUUGCCCAGUCGAGGGGGAUAACAGUUGGAAACGACUGCUAAUCCCGCAUACGAUUGGAUUGCCCAGGUGGGAUUAGCUAGUUGGUGAGGUAAUGGCUCACCAAGGCGACGAUCCCUAGCUGGUAGGAGAGGAUGAUCAGCCACCAUGGAACUGAGACACGGUCCAGACUCAGACGGGAGGCAGCAGUGGGGAAUAUGGCACAGGGUGGGAGAGCCUGAUUCAGCCAGGCCGCGGAUGUGAGGAAGGCCUUCGGGUUGUAAAGCACUUGCAGCGGGGAGGCGUUACUCGCAGAAGAAGCACAGGCUAACUCCGUGCCAGCAGCCGCGGUAAUAC